rnacentral:rRNA from 1 species
UACGUAGGGUGCGAGCGUUAAUCGGAAUUACUGGGCGUAAAGCGUGCGCAGGCGGUUUUGUAAGUCUGUCGUGAAAUCCCCGGCUCAACCUGGGAAUUGCGAUGGAGACUGCAAGGCUAGAAUCUGGCAGAGGGGGGGUAGAAUUCCACGUGUAGCAGUGAAAUGCGUAGAGAUGUGGAGGAACACCGAUGGCGAAGGCAGCCCCCUGGGUCAAGAUUGACGCUCCAUGCACGAAAGCG